rnacentral:rRNA from 1 species
CUAAGAGCUAAUGGAGAAUGCCUUGGUACUGACAGCCGAAGAAGGACGUGUAAAGCUGCGAUAAGCUGCGGGGAGCUGCUAAAAAGCCCUGAUCCGCAGAAUUCCGAAUGGGGAAACCCUAUAAGGUUAAAACCUUAUAACCCAUACAUGAAUACAUAGUGUAUGAGGAGGAAAGCCUGUGAACUGAAACAUCUUAGUAACAGGACGAAAAGAAAAUAAAUCAAUGAUUCCGGUAGUAGCGGCGAGCGAAACUGGAACAGCCUAAACUUUGUGUACGUGAUAAACUGCAAUUGUUGUGCACAGAGGGUUGUGGGACUUACCGAAUAUCUUGCAGGAUAUUCAAAGAGUUACAAAAUUAUUAUAUAGUUAAAUUCAACUGGAAAGUUGAGCCAUAGAGAGUGAUAGCCUCGUAAACGAAAUGUAAUGAUCUCUUGUAAGUAUCCCGAGUACGGCGGGGCACGUGAAACCCUGUCUGAAUCCACCGGGACCAUCCGGUAAGGCUAAAUACUACUCAGAGACCGAUAGUGAACUAGUACCGUAAGGGAAAGGUGAAAAGUACUUCGAAUAGAAGGGUGAAAUAGAUCCUGAAACCGUUAGCUCUGUCUCUUAUACACAUCGUUAGCUUACAAUCAGUUAGAGCCCUAUUAAUAGGGUGAUAGCGUGCCUGUUGAAGAAUGAGCCGGCGAGUUAUCUUAUGUUGCAAGGUUAAGGAGUUAAUAUCCGGAGCCCCAGCGAAAGCGAGUUUGAAUAGAGCGUUAAGUAACAUGAGAUAGACCCGAACCUUGGCGAUCUAACCAUGACCAGGAUGAAGCGUAGGUAACACUACGUGGAGGUCCGAACCGACUGAUGUUGAAAAAUCAGCGGAUGAGUUGUGGUUAGGGGUGAAAUGCCAAUCGAGCCAAGAGCUAGCUGGUUCUCCCCGAAAUGCGUUUAGGCACAGCGUUAGAUUUAUCUUACAGGAGGUAGAGCACUGGUUUCAUGCGGGCGUCGAAAUGAUGUACCAAAUGAUGUCAAACUCCGAAUGCCUGUAAUGUUACUGUCUAGCAGUGAGACUGCGAGUGAUAAGAUCCGUAGUCAAGAGGGAAACAGCCCAGAACGCCAGUUAAGGUCCCUAAUAUAUACUAAGUGGUUAAGGAGGUAGAGUUGCUGUGACAACCAGGAGGUUGGCUUAGAAGCAGCCAUCCCUUGAAAGAGUGCGUAAUAGCUCACUGGUCAAGCGACUCCGCGCCGAAAAUACACCGGGACUAAAGUAUAUAACCGAAACUGCGUCAUAUAGUUUACUAUAUGGGUAGGGGAGCGUUCUGUUGUAGGUUGAAGUAUGACCGUAAGGACAUAUGGACGAAGCAGAAGUGAGAAUGUCGGCAUAAGUAGCGAAAACAUUGGUGAGAAUCCAAUGCACCGUAAACCUAAGGUUUCCCCUGGCAGGCUCGUCCGCGGGGGGUUAGUCGGAACCUAAGAUGAGGCCGAAAGGCGUAGUCGAUGGACAACUGGUUGAUAUUCCAGUACUAUCUGAUAAUCGUUAUCAGAUGCGGAGGGACGCAGGAGGAUAGGCAUGCAAGCGAACGGAAGUGCUUGUUUAAGCGUGUAGGUAGAAAUAAUAGGAAAAUCCGUUAUUUCGUUAUAAACUGAGGCGUUAUGAGGAGAGUCUACGGACUCGAAGAUGUUGAAUCCACACUGCCAAGAAAAUCUUCGCAAUCGAGAUUACCAGGUAUCCGUACCGUAAACCGCCACAGGUAGGUUAGUAGAGAAUACUAAGGUGCGCGAGACAACUCUCGCUAAGGAACUCGGCAAAAUCACCUCGUAACUUCGGGAGAAGAGGUACCCUGCUAGCGUGUAAGCCCUUGCGGCUGAAGCGUGAUAGGGUCGCAGUGAAUUGGCCCAUGCGACUGUUUACCAAAAACACAGGUCUCUGCUAAGUCGAUCAAGACGAUGUAUAGGGGCUGACGCCUGCCCGGUGUCGGAAGGUUACGUGGAAGGGUUAGAACCUCGGUUCGAAGCUCUGAAACUAAGCCCCGAUGAACGGCGGCCGUAACUAUAACGGUCCUAAGGUAGCGAAAUUCCUUGUCAGGUAAGUUCUGACCCGCACGAAUGGCGUAACGAUAUGGGCGCUGUCUCGGCGAGAGGCUCGGCGAAAUUGGAUUAUCCGUGAAGAUACGGAUUACGUGUACCAGGACAGAAAGACCCUAUUGAGCUUUACUGUAGCUUGAAAUUGAAUUCGGGUUCUUAUUGUGCAGUAUAGGUGGGAGACUUUGAAGCAAGAGCGUCAGCUUUUGUGGAGUCAUCGUUGAGAUACCACUCUGUAAUAAUUUGGAUUCUAACAUUGAUCCCUCUAACAUCAGGGCAAUGGACAGUUUCUGGUAGGCAGUUUGACUGGGGCGGUCGCCUCCUAAAAUGUAACGGAGGCGUUCAAAGGUUAGUUCAGGUUGGUCGGAAAUCAACCAUUGAGUGCAAUAGCAAAAACUAGCUUGACUGUGAGACAUACAAGUCGAACAGGUACGAAAGUAGGAUAUAGUGAUCCGGUGGUUCUGUAUGGAAGGGCCAUCGCUCAUCGGAUAAAAGUUACCAUAGGGAUAACAGGCUUAUCUCCCCCAAGAGUCCACAUCGACGGGGAGGUUUGGCACCUCGAUGUCGGCUCGUCGCAUCCUGGAGCGGUAGUACGUUCCAAGGGUUGGGCUGUUCGCCCAUUAAAGCGGCACGCGAGCUGGGUUCAGAACGUCGUGAGACAGUUCGGUCCAUAUCCGGUAUACGCGCAAGAGAUUUGAAUGGAGUCUUCCUUAGUACGAGAGGACCGGGAAGAGGGAACCUCCAGUGUAUGGGUUAUUCUGCCAAGAGUAAACGCCCAGUAGCUGUGUUCCAAGCGGAUAAGUGCUGAAAGCAUAUAAGUACGAAGCCCACCAUAAGAUGAGAUCUCUCAUGACACAAGUCAGUAAGUCCCCAGGCAGAUUACCUGGUUGAUAGGUCAGAGAUAUAAGUAUGGCAACAUAUUCAGUCGACUGAUACUAAUCGGACGAGGGCUUUUCCU